AACGAACGCUGGCGGCAGGCUUAACACAUGCAAGUCGAACGAGAUCUUCGGAUCUAGUGGCAGACGGGUGAGGAACACGUGGGAACAUCCCUUUCAGUUCGGAAUAACGUUGGGAAACUAACGCUAAUACCGGAUACGUCCUUCGGGAGAAAGAUUUAUCGCUGAAAGAUUGGCCCGCGUCUGAUUAGCUAGUUGGUGAGGUAACGGCUCACCAAGGCUACGAUCAGUAGCUGAUCUGAGAGGAUGAUCAGCCACACGGGAACUGAGACACGGUCCCGACUCCUACGGGGGGCAGCAGUGAGGAAUAUUGGGCAAUGGGCGCAAGCCUGACCCAGCAACGCCGCGUGGAGGAAGACGGCCUUCGGGUUGUAAACUCCUUUUACGGGGGAAGAGGAAGGACGGUACCCCGCGAAUAAGUCACGGCUAACUACGUGCCAGCAGCCGCGGUAA
rnacentral:rRNA from 1 species